rnacentral:rRNA from 1 species
UACCAGCACCCCGAGUGGUCGGGACGAUUAUUGGGCCUAAAGCAUCCGUAGCCGGCCUUACAAGUCCUCCGUUAAAUCCAGCUGCUUAACAGAUGGGCUGCGGAGGAUACUAUAAGACUAGGAGGCAGGAGAGGCAAGCGGUACUCAGUGGGUAGGGGUAAAAUCCGUUGAUCCAUUGAAGACCACCAGUGGCGAAAGGC